ACACGACUACAUUAGAUACCCGUGUAGUCCUAGCCGUAAACGAUACUCGCUAGGUGUCGGCCACGGUGCGACCGUUGUCGGUGCCGUAGGGAAGCCGUGAAGCGAGCCACCUGGGAAGUACGGCCGCAAGGCUGAAACUUAAGGGAAUUGGCGGGGGAGCACAACAACGGGUGGAGCUUGCGGUUUAAUUGGAUUCAACGCCGGAAAUCUUACCGGGACCGACAGCAACAUGAAGGCCAAGCUGAAGACUUUGCCGGAUUUAGCUG
rnacentral:rRNA from 1 species